GAGGAAUAUUGGGCAAUGCCCGAAAGGGUGACCCAGCAACGCCGCGUGGAGGAUGAAGGUCGUAAGAUUGUAAACUCCUGUUAGAGGGGAAGAAUAACUAAGUUUGGAGCUUAGUAUGACUGUACCCUCAGAGAAAGCCCCGGCUAACUACGUGCCAGCAGCCGCGGUAAUACGUAGGGGGCAAGCGAUGUCCGGAUUUACUGGGAGUAAAGGGUGCGCAGGCGGACCGAUAAGUCGGGGGUGAAAUCCAUGUGCUUAACACAUGCACGGCUUCCGAUACUGUCGGUCUAGAGUCUCGAAGAGGAAGGUGGAAUUUCCGGUGUAACGGUGGAAUGUGUAGAUAUCGGAAAGAACACCAGUGGCGAAGGCAGCCUUCUGGUCGAGAACUGACGCUCAUGCACGAAAGCGUGGGGAGCAAACA
rnacentral:rRNA from 1 species